GCUGACUUAGCUCAGUUGGUAGAGCAUCGGUUUUGUAAACCGACGGUCGUAGGUUCGAUUCCUAUAGUCAGCUCCA
rnacentral:tRNA from 4 species